CGAGUACGACCCGUUACGACGGGGAAGUGUCUGAUGUCAGGCUUCCAAGAAAAGCCCGAACCACGUUAAUUCAAAUUGGCCCGUACCCUAAACCGACACAGGUGGGAAGGUAGAGUAUACCCAGGGGCGCGAGAUAACUCUCUCUAAGGAACUCGGCAAAAUGGCCCCGUAACUUCGGGAGAAGGGGUGCCACCGAGAGGUGGUCGCAGUGAAGAGUCCCAGGCGACUGUUUACCAAAAACACAGGUCUCCGCUAAGUCGCAAGACGAUGUAUGGGGGCUGACGCCUGCCCAGUGCCGGAAGGUUAAGGAAGUUGGUCAGGGAGCAAUCCUGAAGCUAGCGACUGAAGCCCCGGUGAACGGCGGCCGUAACUAUAACGGUCCUAAGGUAGCGAAAUUCCUUGUCGGGUAAGUUCCGACCCGCACGAAAGGCGUAACGAUCUGGGAGCUGUCUCGGAGAGAGGCUCGGCGAAAUAGGAAUGUCUGUGAAGAUACGGACUACCUGCACCCGGACAGAAAGACCCUAUGAAGCUUUACUGUAGCUUGGUAUUGGGUUCGGGCUUUGAUUGCGCAGGAUAGGUGGGAGACUAUGAGAUAGCUCUUGUGGGAGUUAUGGAGUCACUGGUGAGAUACCACUCUAUCAAGGCUAGAAUUCUAACUUUGACCCGUUAUCCGGGCAGAGAACAGUAUCAGGUGGGCAGUUUGACUGGGGCGGUCGCCACCUAAAUGGUAACGGAGGCGCGCAAAGGUUCCCUCAGGCUGGUUGGAAAUCAGCCAUUGAGUGUAAAGGCAUAAGGGAGCUUGACUGCGAGACUGACAAGUCGAGCAGUUACGAAAGUAGGCCUUAGUGAUCCGACGGUUCCGCGUGGAAGGGCCGUCGCUCAACGGAUAAAAGUUACUCUAAGGAUAACAGGCUGAUCUCCCCCAAGAGUUCACAUCGACGGGGAGGUUUGGCACCUCGAUGUCGGCUCAUCGCAACCUGGGGCUGUAGUCGGUCCCAAGGGUUGGGCUGUUCGCCCAUUAAAGCGGUACGUGAGCUGGGUUCAGAACGUCGUGAGACAGUUCGGUCCAUAUCCGGUGCAGGCGUAGGAACAUUGAGAGGAGUCUUCCUUAGUACGAGAGGACCGGGAAGAACGCACCGCUGGUGUACCUGUUAUCGUGCCAACGGUAAGCGCAGGGUAGCCAAGUGCGGAGAGGAUAACCGCUGAAAGCAUCUAAGUGGGAAGCCCACCUCAAGAUGAGUGUUCCCAUGGCAAAAGCCAGUAAGGUCACGGGUAGACCACCCGUUAAUAGGCGCUAGAUGGAAGUCCAGCAAUGGAUGUAGUCGAGGCGUACUAACAGACC
rnacentral:rRNA from 1 species